CACGUAGUUAGCCGGGCCUGAUUCGGAGGGUACCGUCAUCAUCGUCCCCCCCAAAAGGAGUUUACAACCCAAGAGCCGUCAUCCUCCACGCGGCGUUGCUCGGUCAGGCUUGCGCCCAUUGCCGAAAAUUCCUUGCUGCUGCCCCCCGUAGGAGUUUGGGCCGUGUCUCAGUCCCAAUCUGUCUGGUCGUCCUCUCAGACCAGAGACCCAUCACAGGCUUGGUGCGCCAUUACCACACCAACUACCUAAUGGGACGCCGACCCCGCCAGUGCGCGUUACCGCUUUCCUUCACCAAGGUGAAUCGUAUGCGGGAUUAGCGAGUCUUUCGACCCGUUAUCCCCCAGACCGGGGUAGUUAGUCACGUGUUCCUCAGCCGUGCGCCACUCAUUCCGAAAGAAUGCGUUCGACUUGCAUGCAUUAGGCACGCCGCAGCGUGCUGACGCAG
rnacentral:rRNA from 1 species